rnacentral:rRNA from 1 species
AACGAACGCUGGCGGCAGGCCUAACACAUGCAAGUCGAGCGAGGACUUCGGUCCUAGCGGCGGACGGGUGCGUAACGCGUGGGAACGUGCCCUUUGCUUCGGAAUAGCCCUGGGAAACUGGGACUAAUACCGGAUGAGCCCUUUGGGGGAAAGAUUUAUCGGCGAAGGAUCGGCCCGCGUUGGAUUAGGUAGUUGGUGGGGUAAUGGCCUACCAAGCCGACGAUCCAUAGCUGGUUUGAGAGGAUGAUCAGCCACACUGGGACUGAGACACGGCCCAGACUCCUACGGGAGGCAGCAGUGGGGAAUCUUAGACAAUGGGGGAAAGCCUGAUCUAGCCAUGCCGCGUGAGCGAUGAAGGCCUUAGGGUUGUAAAGCUCUUUCAGCUGGGAAGAUAAUGACGGUACCAGCAGAAGAAGCCCCGGCUAACUCCGUG